CCCGCAACGAGCGCAACCCUUGUCAUUAGUUGCUACAUUCAGUUGGGCACUCUAAUGAGACUGCCGGUGACAAACCGGAGGAAGGUGGGGAUGACGUCAAGUCCUCAUGGCCCUUAUAGGUGGGGCUACACACGUCAUACAAUGGCUGGUACAAAGGGUUGCCAACCCGCGAGGGGGAGCUAAUCCCAUAAAGCCAGUCGUAGUCCGGAUCGCAGUCUGCAACUCGACUGCGUGAAGU
rnacentral:rRNA from 1 species